CGUCAGGCUGGGCCAGCACACUUCUCCACAGCCCUGCCUACCCUGGGCUCUGCAUUCCUCACACUCUCUGUCCAGUGUCUCCCACCCUCUGGGGAGAAGUGCAGCCAAAGGGCAGAAGCUUGAAAGCAACAGUGGCCUCAGUCCACAGGGAAGACACUCCAGCUGUCUAGAAGCCAUGGCCAACCUAGGACAUUCUGCCUAAACCUGAGUCACAUUAGGAAUCAUUGCUUCAGAACCUUCCCAGGGCUCCCAGCUCAUUCACAGGAAGUAUAUAUAACCCCAUUUCCUCAGCCCCCCUCAGUGUCUUUUGGGUCCCUUUGUUCCAUGACCUCUCCUUCCUGCUCAGGUUAACUUGCCAGGCGCAAGCUCAGGACCUUUGCACAUGCUGUUCCCUUCAUCUGAGUAUGAUUCCCUUCCCAACAUUCCCAUGGCUCCCUCCUUCACUGAAGUGGCAUCUUCAAGGGAGCCUGCAUUUGCCUCCUGUCCCCUGCUGCACCCUGCCCCCCAUUUUUCAGUUUAACAGUUCUGGAGACUAUUUUCUAAUGUAUUAAAAGUUUUUAUUUUAUUCUGUAAACUCUUGUCUCCUGCAGAGAAUGUAAGCAGCAUAGACAGAAAUUCCUAUGUGUUCCCAGCCCAAGACUAGAAUCUGCAUCCCCAGCAUCAUGUAAAGGCCAGGUAGGUCUUGAAGCUGUCUGUAAUUUUAGGACACAGAGGGCAGAGGCAGGAUUCUUAGAGCAAGCUGCCCGCUGGACCAGCUGGGAUCUGUGAGCUCUGGGCUUUGCAAGAGACCCUGCCUUGAUGAAUAUAGUGAAGAGAAGUGGGAAGUCACCAAAUCUUAGCUUCAGGCUUCCACAUGCACAUAUCCACAUGUCAUGUGUGCCCACUCAUGCAAACAUGAGUACUCACACCACACACAGAGAAAAGAAUUAAAUAGGCUUCCAGGGACUUACCCCCUAAACAGGAGAUAUUUGGUUCCUGGGGAAAUCAGGACAAUUUUCUUAGAAGAGGCAUAAAAACUCCCACAGAACCUUCCAGAGUUUUCCUUCAUGUCUGCUGUGCUCCCUCUCUGCUUCACCAGCAGGGUCUGAUCAUCCAUCCAUUCUCAGACAGCAGUCAAAUAAAUCCCAAGCCAGCUUUAACUCCCACCAUAGCCUAGAUACCUCUGCAUGUCCAUCACAGUCCAGGGCCAGGAUCAGCCUCAGUGCAAGGAAUUCCUGUUGUCUGAGGGAAGAGGGCACUGGAUCCUGACCACCUACCUGAAGGCUCCCAUGAGCAGCAACAGUUCCCACCAUGCGGACAGAAAAACAGCCCAGUGUAGCAGGGAGGACUUAUGUACUGGUUUUCAGUCAUAGCUAGGCACCAGGGCAUCAGACUUGCAAGGCAGGUUCUCCCCUGUGCUACAUUUCCACUCUUACUAGGGAGGAGGAGCCAGGUGGUAAGUGUAAGCCCCUUGAGGCACAAGUGACUAGGCCUGGACCCCCAGACAUCUCUAAUGCUGGUGGCUGGCAUUUCCAGUCCCUUGAGGUGGAGAGAGAGGCCAGGCCCCACCCUCUACAAUAAAAAUGCCCAAGGUCAGGCCACAAAAUGCCUCCAAUCCCAGGCCACCCUGGAAAGCUUCACCCCCAAGAAACAGUCUCCAGAGCCUGCCCCCCCCCCCCCCCCCGCUCAGUUCUCUGAUGCUUCUUUCUUGCCCAGGUGGAGGCAGCUACCCUCUUGUCUUUCCCAAUAGAUCUGUUGUGU
rnacentral:lncRNA from 1 species